AUUGAACGCUGGCGGCAUGCUUUACACAUGCAAGUCGAACGGCAGCGCGGGCUUCGGCCUGGCGGCGAGUGGCGAACGGGUGAGUAAUGCAUCGGAACGUGCCCAGUAGUGGGGGAUAGCCCGGCGAAAGCCGGAUUAAUACCGCAUACGACCUGAGGGUGAAAGCGGGGGACCGAAAGCCUCGCGCUAUUGGAGCGGCCGAUGUCGGAUUAGCUAGUUGGUGGGGUAAAGGCUUACCAAGGCGACGAUCCGUAGCUGGUCUGAGAGGACGACCAGCCACACUGGGACUGAGACACGGCCCAGACUCCUACGGGAGGCAGCAGUGGGGAAUUUUGGACAAUGGGGGCAACCCUGAUCCAGCCAUGCCGCGUGCGGGAAGAAGGCCUUCGGGUUGUAAACCGCUUUUGUUCGGGAAGAAAUCCUCUGGGCUAAUACCCCGGGGGGAUGACGGUACCGGAAGAAUAAGCACCGGCUAACUACGUG
rnacentral:rRNA from 1 species